GAGGAGAAGUAUGAUAAUUGCUUCGCAUUGAAGGUUGGCAAUACAGAACAGAAGUUGUGAUUCUCCAUGCUUUUCAACUCUCUCUUGGUUUUGACUAUGUCCUUGAAUAAAUCGUUACAUU